rnacentral:rRNA from 1 species
GACGGAGGAUGCAAGCGUUAUCCGGAAUUACUGGGCGUAAAGCGUGCGCAGGCGGUCUUGUAAGCCAGAUGUGAAAGCCCCGGGCUCAACCUGGGAACUGCAUUUGGGACUGCAAGGCUGGAGUACGGCAGAGGGAGGUGGAAUUCCUGGUGUAGCGGUGGAAUGCGCAGAUAUCAGGAGGAACACCGAUGGCGAAGGCAGAUCUCUGGGCCGUAACUGACGCUGAGGAGCGAAAGCAUGGGGAGCGAACAGG